CGCUGUCCUGGGACGGCGAGGUCGUCUCCUACGGCGAGCUGGACCGGUGGGCGGGGCGGGUGGCCGCGGCGCUCGGCGCGCCGGACGGCGUC
rnacentral:tRNA from 1 species